CGCCUGUUUAACAAAAACAUGGCCUCUUGGGGUUUAAUAAGAGGUUUGACCUGCCCGGUGAAUUUUUAACGGCCGCGGUACUUUGACCGUGCAAAGGUAGCAUAAUCAUUAGUCUUUUAAAAGGAGGCUGGAAUGAAGGGUUUGACGAAGAAUUGACUGUCUCAUUUUUUUUGACUUUAGAAUUUAACUUUUUAGUCAAAAGGCUAAAAUUUUAUUGGUAGACGAGAAGACCCUAUAGAGCUUUAUAUUUAUCUGUUUAUUAAUAUUAUAUUAUUUGUUAUUAUUUUGGAUAAUUAUUUUGUUGGGGUGACAAAAAUAUAUAAUUAACUUUUUUAUUUUAAGUACAUUGAUUUAUGAAUAUUAGAUCCAUUAUUAUUGAUUGUUAGAUUAAGUUACCUUAGGGAUAACAGCG
rnacentral:rRNA from 1 species